GUGUUUGUGAGAGAGAGUGUUUGGUGAUUGUUUGAAUGCGUGAAUUUAGGGUGUUUGUGAGUGUGAAUGUGAAUUUCUUUAAAAACCUACACACUGAUCUUAUUUGAUCCGGUCAGAGUUCGGCUCUGCUCUGAUCGGAGAUGAUAGGAAAAGCGCUCGCUAGCCUCCGUGGCGAUGAGCAGCAGGCAAGAGUGAAACCUUCAGGGCCUUCCACUGCUUCAUGUUGUGGUGAGAGGUGAUGAAUUGAUCAGAUAUACUAGUUCUGGUUGAGUUUGGGAUUCAUCUCAAGCUUCACGAUGAACAAUGAGUAAAGAGGCGAUUCUGAUCUGA
ensembl:scaRNA